GCCAGCAGCAGCUUAUUUGGAUUUAAAAUGACAGCAGCUCAUUUUGAAAGGAGCCCAACAUAGGCAGAGCUGACCAGAUUAAAAUCUGAUUUUCUGAGAAUGAUUUUGUGCAAAGAAUGUAACAAACAUGUUUUGUAUAAUCCCUUCAGACCUGUCCUAGCCUGUUCAAAAACAAAAAACAGCAUAAAAGGUCAUUUUUAAACUGCUGAUGAGGAAGUGCCUUUUCCCAUGCCCAAAUUUUCUAUUCGGGAAGCAGAGAGGGAAACCGAGCUUCCCUUCCAAGUUUUAUGUUUGGUUUAAGAACAGGAUGCAGCUGAGGAAAUGACCUGCUGGCUCCAUGCCUCUGUUUUUCACAUGCAUUGUUCUGAGCAUGUGGUUUGGUACUCUGUUUGCUGAACAAUAAGAAGGAAACAAACAUUUAGACACCAAUAAAAGCAGCAGGAUGUACAUUUUCCCAAAAUGAACAGUAAUGUCAGUCAAAACCCACUUAAGAAAUACUUGAAGAAUCCUGCAUUCAAAAGGAGCAAAAGUAUUCAGUAUAUUCAGUUUGUAAGAUUAAAAUUGUUUUUUGAAAAUAACCUUCAGCAGGUAUAAACAUGCUUUUAUUAAGACCUCAUUUCUGCUUUUAAAAAUAGUUUUUUUAUUGGUCUGAUGUAAUAUUCUAAUUUAAAAUUAGAAUAUUUUUAUUAGCUGUUAGCAGAAAAUCAUCACGAUUAAGAGGCACAAAGGUGUUAAAACCUUCAACUUUGUCUAGUUGAACAAAGUUGACUUUUUAAUAAUAUUUAAAUUUACUGAAUGGGUCUGUAGUUCUAUAGCAUUUAUUUGCUGAUGUGUAACAAAAUAUAACUAAAGAUUAACAUUUAUAAAGUACGAGUCAUUAUUUGAAGCUUAUUUGUGAACUUUCUGAACAUUUUAAGCAUUUUCACCUGCAGCUGAUUGUAUGAUUCUUUUGAUGCAGCAUAAAUUAGCCUCCAUGUAACGACAUGCUAAGCUGUUGAGGCAGAUUCUACGGUCAGCAAAUGGAAUUAGAGGAGCUUUAGCAGGGAGCGUUCAGAGUUUGUCCGGAGUUUCUACAUCAACUGUGUGGUUUCCCACAGAGAGCGUCCAACCGAUCUGAAGCUCCUUCCUGGUCGGUUUAUACGCCACAGGAUGAAGGGAUAAAAAACAAAGACGAGCCUCUUUACUGCUGUGCAACAAACGACUCUAGUUGCUCUUUGAAUAUUUGUGUUAAUGACGAGAGCUCUUGACAGAUGCGGCGAAUAAAUUAUUUAUUCUGGCGCAGGAACGACUCAUUGUGUCGUCUGCUUUCAAAAGAGAUCCAGUUAUGGAGUACUUUCUGCUGACAUCCUGUCUCUGGUAGAGAGUUUUCUUCUAAUGCUAAUUAUUUCAGCCACACAUUUUCUAAAUAUAUCAGCAAAUAUAUGUUAUCUGUAAAACUUGAUUUAAAAACUAACGAGUUUAAAAGCAUGCAUUGGAUUAAAGGGGGCAUAUUAUGCAAAAUCCACUUUUUUUAGUCUUUAAACAUGUUUUUAUAUAUUUAUAUAUACUUUGACUGUCUAGGAGUUAAUUUUUUUAUUUAUUCUCUCCCUCUGCUGCUUAUUUCUUUAUAUUCUUUGUAGGUUUUCAGUUCUUUUUUUUUUGCCUAUGUCAUCUUCUUGUCAAGAUCACAACGUCUAGCUAAUCAGUUUUAUGAAUCCGUAAAAUUUUUCCACACAGCGAUUUUGUAGUCCAAGUUCAGUUAUGUCAAAGUUGCAAGUAGACAAGUGAAAAUGUUAUUUCCGAAAAUGCAACAACUUAUGCUAUUCUUGAUCAUUUGUAGAAUAAGAUGCGUCUGCAGCAAAAAAACAAAACUUCUAACAACAUAUGAAAAGCUCAAGCCUUUCUGCUUGACUUACCGUAUUAUCAAUAAAGUGUAGGGCUGAUCUGCUGAUCAGUUUUCAAUUAAACACUUAGUAAUUGAGAGUAAAAUGUGUUUAAUACAAGAUUUUUUUACAGAAUUUGAACUAAGUGA